UACGGAGGGGGCUAGCGUUGUUCGGAAUUACUGGGCGUAAAGCGCGCGUAGGCGGCUUUGCAAGUCAGAGGUGAAAGCCUGGAGCUCAACUCCAGAACUGCCUUUGAAACUGCAUCGCUAGAAUCAUGGAGAGGUUAGUGGAAUUCCGAGUGUAGAGGUGAAAUUCGUAGAUAUUCGGAAGAACACCAGUGGCGAAGGCGCGUUUCUGGCCGGUUCCUGACGCUGAGGCGCGAAAGCUAGGGGAGCAAACGGG
rnacentral:rRNA from 1 species